UUUUGGAAAAUGGGAGACCUAUCUAGACAAAGAAAUUAUAUUGCAAAAUGUAUUGAGAUCAAUAAUUGUAAGCGCCGUGUAUGUAAAACUUUCUUUAAAAACACAUUGGCUAUUAGUAAUCGACCUAUCGCAACUGUUAUAUCAAAGAAAAACCAAUCGGGAACGGUUGACGAAGAACUAAGGGGUAAACAUGGGAAACACAACAAAGUCAGCUUAGAUAUCAUUAAAAGCAUAAAAAAGCACAUAGACUCAAUCCCAAGGAUAUAUCCCAAGGAUAUAUACUGAUUGAUAUUAUUAUUCCAAGUGAUUGUCAGGAUCUCUCUUUAUUUUGUAAUAAAACAUUAUUAAUUAAA